AAACUGCGAUACGUAAUGUGAAUUGCAGAAUUCAGUGAAUCAUCGAAUCUUUGAACGCAUAUUGCGCUUUAGAGUAAUAUCUAAAGCAUACCUGGUUGAGAAUCAUUUAAAUAAAACUCACAUUUUUUUUCGUUUAAAAAUUUGUGGAUAAUGAAGGUCAAUUAUUGUCCUUUUAAAUUUAAUAGAAUUUAAUUUUUGAUAAUUUAAAAGAAAAAAUUUAAAUCUGCGUGAUACACAUUUUUUCAUUUUUAAAAUUUUAAAUUAUAAUUCUAUAUUUUAAUAGUGGGUUUAAAAAUCCUACAAAUUAAAAAAUUUUUUUAAUAAAACGAUCUCAACUCAGGUAAGACUACCCGCUGAACUUAA
rnacentral:misc_RNA from 1 species